CUGACUGUCCAGAGAGAGUAAGGGAGGCAGAAAUAAUUAGGGUUAGAUCUAAGAAGAGACUUAAGCAUGAGGAAGUAGGUAAGAAAUGUUAUGAUGUGAGACAAGAAGCUAUGGAGGACAAAUCAGUCAGAAGACAUGCUGAGUUUUGCUGUUUUAAGGAUCAGGUGAAGUUUUUGGCCUUUUUGGCAAUGGUAAUUAACUGUAAUGCUGGAGAAGAAAGAAAAUCUGAGAAAACUGACAUAAUUGUAGAUGCAGCAAGGAGAUUUCUGAGUGUUGUGGAAGUUUCUGAAAAAGGUGUGUAGCAUCUGUUGAGAGAAGCUUUUAGGCUCUCUCAAACACCUGAAAAAUAGAGGUUAUAGCAAAGUGGGAAUGAGCUGCCUGAGUGAAAUAGAGAGGAUUUGAGGACGUAUAUAGGUUGAAGUGUGUGAAUAUUUUUUUUUCUUUCCAAGUAUCCAUGAGGAUGUUUGUUUGCACUCAGCUCAAGCUCUCAACCUGCUGAUUUUAAAAGGACAGCGGUGAGCGGGAGGAAGGCGACUGGCGCCAUCUUGGCUGUUUUAAUGAGUACAACAGGGCAGAAUUCACUGGGAAAAAUGACAUAAUCAUCAGGAUUUCACUCUAAAAAGGGGGAACUGUCGUAACGUUGGCCAUCAGUCCUGAGCAGCAGGAAAGGACAUCACCAGCUGAUCAGUUUUUUGGAGCCAGAAGUGAUGAGAAGAAGAGAGAAGUGAACAUAUUUGGACAAGAGCGUAUAGUUGGGGAGGAGCUCACCAGGGUCCAACAGGGUGACGAUCACUCCUGCUGAUGAGUCCAGUCUCUCCCCAUCGUCCCAGGUCUCACUGUGCAAGUCAUCAGGAGAACCUGAACCUGAGAUCCUGUGUACGACCAAAUGGAUGCUGAUGAUGGAGACCUGACUUCACCACCACCUUGGCUAUCCUCUUCACAUUUUACUGUAUAUUCACAGUUGAAUAUCAGGAGGAAACAACAACAUCACUGGAGUCUGUUCAAAAGCUUCGCUAUUACACAGACAGUUAUGAUCCAGCGGAUCCAAAGCCUUUUGGCCCAGCGGACUUGUGUUGCAAAGUGGACUGAGAUGGGCUUUUGGAGUCUUUACAGACAAGUACGCAUUAUCAAACACCAUUUUGAAGACUCUAAGGACACCUGACUACCUGCUGACUUGACAUCUCCCAGAGCUGAAUAUCCAUGUUUAGAUUACCUGAGUGUUUUGUUUCAAGGAAAUUACAGUGUCUAGUAUAUUGUCAAGUUUAACUUGACAACAACUUAUUUUGUUCUGCUGUCCUGUGUGAGGAAAAAACCAUUUGCACCAUUUUACAUCAGAGAUAUAAUUGCAGCAGUUCACUAUUCAGCGUGGAUAUUUCUGCCAUAUGGAAGAAGGCCAUUAGAUUUCUGUAAACAUGCACAAUACCUGCGCACAGUUAAAAUAAGUAUAUAUGUUUGUUGCUUUUCAACAGUUAACAAUAAAUCA